rnacentral:rRNA from 1 species
GUCGAGCGCGAAGGCAUCCUUCGGGGUGCUGGAGAGCGGCGAAAGGGUGAGUAAUACAUAGGCAACGUACCCUCGGGACCGGAAUAGCUGCUGGAAACGGCAGGUAAUACCGGAUGGUCACCUCGGAUGGCAUCUUCCGAAGUGUAAACGGUCGGGCAACCCUCUGCCCGGGGAGCGGCCUAUGUCCUAUUAGCUUGUUGGUGAGGUAACGGCUCACCAAGGCUAUGAUGGGUAGCCGGACUGAGAGGUUGGCCGGUCACACUGGGACUGAGACACUGCCCAGACUCCUACGGGAGGCUGCAGUCGAGAAUCUCCCGCAAUGGGCGCAAGUCUGACGGGGCGACGCCGCGUGAGGGAUGAAGGCCCUCGGGUUGUAAACCUCUGUUGCACGCUAGGAAUUCCUGGGGGUCAAUAGCCCUUCAGGUUGACCAUCGUGUGAGGAAGCACAGGCUAACUCCGUGCCAGCAGCCGCGGUAAUACGGAGUGUGCAAGCGUUACUCGGAAUCACUGGGCAUAAAGCGCACGUAGGCGGGUUGCUUAGUCGGUGGUGAAAGCCCCCAGCUCAACUGGGGAAUUGCUCCCGAAACUGGCAACCUUGAGGGCAAGAGGGGAAAGUGGAACUUCUGGUGGAGCGGUGAAAUGCGUAGAUAUCAGAAGGAACACCGGUGGCGAAAGCGACUUUCUGGCUUGUCUCUGACGCUGAGGUGCGAAAGCGUGGGUAGCAAACAGGAUUAGAUACCCUGGUAGUCCACGCCGUAAGCGAUGGGCACUAGGCAGGGGGAGUUCCGAUGCUUUCCCUGCCGCAGCUAAUGUAUUAAGUGCCCCGCCUGGGGAGUACAGUCGCAAGGCCGAAACUCAAAGGAAUUGACGGGGGCUCACACAAGCGGUGUGCAUGUGGUUUAAUUCGAAGCACGCGCAGAUCUUACCUGGGUUUGACAUGCACGAUUAGCUCCUGCAAACAGGGUGACGCCCGCAAGGUGACGUGCACAGUGCUGCAUGCUGUCGUC